rnacentral:rRNA from 1 species
UACGUAGGGUGCAGGCGUUAAUCGGAAUUACUGGGCGCAAAGCGUGCGCAGGCGGUCUUUUAAGUCAGAUGUGAAAUCCCCGGGCUUAACCUGGGAACUGCGUUUGAAACUGGAAGGCUAGAGUGUGGCAGAGGGGGGUGGAAUUCCACGUGUAGCAGUGAAAUGCGUAGAUAUGUGGAGGAACACCGAUGGCGAAGGCAGCCCCCUGGGCUAACACUGACGCUCAUGCACGAAAGCGUGGGGAGCAAACAGG